AUGAAGCAAUGUGCUGGUCUGGUAGAAGUGCUGAGAGCUACCCAAGGUUUUCAGAGUCAAAGAGAGGAAAUUGGGGCUGCUUUCUGGGGGCUAUUGGUUCUUGAAGAAGAGGGAGCUGUAUGGAACAAUAGUGGUGAAUGCUGCUCUGCUGGGAUCUGUCCUCUUCGUUUCCUCAAGACCAAGCAAAUAAGAAGUGAUUGUAAUGUUAGCUGCUGUCUCCAGAUCAAAAGCUUCCUGCAUCCGUGAGCUGGGGCACUGUGAAAGUCAGAAGGUUUCACACUACUUUGCGGUAGUGCUGUGAUAUUUGCCAAUGCUGGGUUAUAAUUGGAUGGUAUACAGUUUAUGUAUCUAGUGCAGUUAUAAUAUUCAUCUACUUGUAUGCAGCAAAAAAAAAAAAGGGCUGGAAGAGCCCUUGAAAUGCUAGAAGUGUGGGGCUGGGUGGGCUGGCAAGUGCCAAGUGGCUGCUGCUGUGUGCCCAGAUUGGGGCAUUGCUGUGUAUGUGGCACCAUGGGGCUCUUGCUCUGCCCAGGGCUGUGCUGGUAUAGCUGCUGUAAAGUGCAGCCUCCAAGGCAGCCGUUUGCUUGCAAGAUAAAUUGGCCUUUUGUAGGGGACCGUGUCCUGAGCAUGAUGAAAAUGCCAAAUGUGCUGAUAAUGCAACUUGAAACGGAUCCAUGGGGAUUUUCUGCUGGUGUCUUUAAUGCUAUUGUGAGUAGGAAAGAAACUGGGGAAGGAGUGGGGUGACUGGGCUGUGAACUCUGCAGUGGGGUCAGUGCUGAUGUGGGAGGCAUGAAGCAGGACUGAAAUAGGGGUGCUGGGUGGAGGUGGGGAGCAUGUGUUUUUUCUGGUCAGAUGAGGGCUUGGAGGCUCUGUCUUUGGUGCCUCUCUAUUGAGCUUAAGCUCCAGGUCUUGGGGCCAAGUGACCCUGAGUGAGUUUUGUCUGAAUUCGAGAAUGGGAAUGCAGCAGCUCAGUAGCACUCAGGUUUGGGAGAAGGAGGCCCCAAGAACACCCUGGCUUGGAAAACUGACCUUUGCUGAAAGCAGCUAAUCACGUGCAAGUCUUAAGCAUGUCCUUCAGUUCCAUUGAAGAAAAUAGACUUGAAGUGCAUGCUUGAAUCUAAGUGCAUGGUGAAGUAUGUUCAUGGGCCUCAGAUAGGGUAAUGAUGGCUGCACAGAAGAUGGACAGACACAUCAGGAGAUAGGGCUGCAACACAGCCAUGAGCUCACUGCUGUCUCACACGAGGCUGCUCCAGGUCUGGCAGCCCAAAGGACAGAGCCCUGGCUCUUUGCUGUCUUGUGAAGCCUCACUGCAUCGCCCUCAUCCAGGCUCCAUCCUUCCCUUUCCCCAAGGCUGCUCCUUCCCUUGCUCUGCCCACGCUGUGAAAGCGCCUGGCCCGGAUAUUUGCUGCACAUCAGCACAAACUCAACCCUUCACUUUCUGUGCUUAGCAGGACAGAGCCAGCGUGGCUGUGGUGGGGACACCCCUGGUUACCCCUGCCCCUGCCUGGGGUCGCGUUCCCCUCUGUGGCCAUGCAUCUGGCUCACUGGGAAGCCAGAGCCCGCGCUGAGCUCAAAACGCAGCAACAGCAGCCUCUGCUUUUCCACACGUUGGUAUUUUUAGCUCUGCUGUGCAUUAGCGUGCAGGAGCUCAAACUGCGAAGCCUGGCUGAGGUUUUAUCUGUUGUGACAGCCCUUAGGGCUGUAGUCAGACACUCUCUCUCGCUUGCUCGCUCCCUCUCUCCUUUUUUCUUAUUCCUUUUUUAAAGUUUGCAGCUCGGAUCUGCUCCCUCUGCAUGGAUACACUGCAGCUGUCAAGACAAGAGACCAAAGGUGGCAGAUAGGGUCCAAAGUGUGGUCUGAGCCCCUUUGCAAGGAAGCUCUAUUGAGGUCCUUUCUGUAUUUUUCCAUUCCUCCCUGUUGCCCAUGUCAGGGCUGAAGCACUGAGCUGAUGAUGCAGGAUGAGGUGCUGGCUCACUCUGACUGCCCUGACCCAAACGGUCUCCAAAAAGCUGUGCUGAUCGACAGCUGCACUGCUGCUGGUAGCAGAAAUUGGGGAGCAGAGGGCAGAGGUCAGCAUAUGCCAGGGCUCAGAGGGCAGCAUGCAGACCUAGGGCUGCUGCUGCUUUGUCCAAAUCCCUUGUGUCUAUACCAGCACUGUAAAGCACAGAUGUGGCUGCUUUUGGGGCUCCAGGAACCCCAGAAAUAAAACUUCCCUUCAAGACCCAGGGCUCAGCACCCUGCGUGCCUCAGGAGACCUAGCCUGGGCAGUUCUGUGCCUAAACAGAAGUUACCUGAAAAUCUGGUGCCCCCAAAGCUUGUCCAAGGUCAGGGAGGAAGCUGGUGACAGAGCCAGGAAUCAGGUCUGGCUUCCUGUCCCACCUUUCUAGCCUUCCGCUCCAGCCCUCUGCACGCACUCAUCCCAUGUCAUUUCUCACUGUCCGUCCGCAAUUUGGUUGUUUGCUACUCUUUAUACUCUAGAGUGCAGAUAGUUGGUGUAUAUCUAUGUCAUAUUUUCUCAAAAAUCUAUUAAAUUCUCUUCAUUGCUCCCAGGACGUAAAGGGAAAUAGCAGCUGAAGGAUGCUUUUUGUACGAGUAUGAAAUAUCAUCUAAUUAGCAAGCAGGGAUGGCCAUAGGAUGAGCAGAGGGGGGUGUGCAGGUUCCUGUAGGUCUGUCCAUGAUACGAUUUUUCUGGUAUCACAUCAUUUAGAAGUAUAGCAAGUUCAGUAUGUGGCAGCUCCCCUGUCCUUGGCUGGAGACUGAAGAGCUGCAUCUGUAGGUUGGGGUGCCACAGGUAUGGGGGCUGAGCAGUGAUGGCUUUGUCAUCCAUUACCUGGGUAUAAACCCAAAGUGGAGCCUGGGAGGUCCCCCAGGUCCUCCCGCUUCAUUUGCAUUGAUGAGGAGUAGAAGCACAUCCCAAAGUUUAUCCAGGAAAGCUGCAUCUCGGGCAGCUUUUCUAAUUAUCCAUCCCCCCACUGUGUUUGUUCUGUUCUCCCCAACAAUUCCUCCUUUUUGCUGGCAGCAGCCAAUGCCGUGAACCACAGAGAGCAGCUUCACAGCGCUCCUGCUCAACCUGCAGCAGGGAUCUCUGAAAAUAGCUGGUGCGUUUGCCCUUUUGCAGAGAAGCACCCAGGGAUGAGGAUUUUGCAACUCAGCUUGCGGUGUGGAGUGGGGUGUGGGGGGUUUUGCUACGGCUGCAUUUUUAUCGAUGCGGGUUGUUUGCGCAGUGUGAGAGUCUCUGGUAGCAGCCAGAGCAUGGCAGGUACCUCUGCACUGAGCUUCAGAAUCCCAUGGCCAGCAUCCAAGCAGCCCCACAGCAGCUCUGUGGGGUCUUGCUGCCCACCUCCUCCUUUCUUCCACAUCUUCAUGGGGAAAACCCGCUCACGGCUGCAGGGGAUGGAUGUAGAGACCCCAGCGUGAAGCAGCCCUCCUUGCAGGGGAUUUGACACCUGAAUAGCUGGGUGAUGUCUAGGAGGAAUUAAACAGUGCUGAUUUUAUCUCAGAUGUCAAUCUGGAAGAUUAAGGACUUUUUCUUGAGGGAUAGAGGAUGGUGGUAUUUUAGGGGCAUAUAAACUUUCAAAAUACCCUGUGGCAUCUAUGUUAAUGCAUCUUCCUGCAUUAUUAAAAUUCCUUACAGGCUUCCAAACAACUCACAAUUUGGGCUCUAAAAUGCUGGUACAGGCAGAUCUGUGUGGGGGCAAAGCUCAGUGACUCCGUGUGCUUGGUGCUAUAAAGCAGAUGCUCUCCCCUGCCUUCUUACAGCCUCACACGCUGCAGGCAGUUCUCUGCUCGCACCCGAACCCACCCGCUUCUCGCUCAUCCCACUCCUUUGACUCCCUGCUCUGGAGCUGUCUCGGGCUCUCGGCACGUCCGAUGCCUCGGCUGCCAGGAGUUUGCUCUCCAACUGCUUCCCGGCCCCCUCGUGCAUGUGGGCAUGGAGGGGGGGAGCUGCAAGAGCGGGGAAGGAUGAACAGCAGGAGAGUCUUCAGGGAAGGGAUGGGGGAAGCAAAAAAAAGGGGGGAGCAGAAGUGAGAACAGAGAGGAGGAGGGAGAAAGGAUGCUGCCUUGUCUGUUCUCAGAUUUUAUAUUGGUUGAAUCGCACUGGGUUAGCUAAAACUGGUGCAGAGCUGCCUUCCCCUCCCCUUUCCUCCAGGCAGGCACUUGCAUUUGGGGUUGAAUGCCUUAAUUCACUUCAGCUUCAACCUGCUUCUAAUUGACUUAUGCCACAUUGAAAGAAGCUCGGCUUUCCAAGCAAGCAAGCAGCAGUGGUUGCAAAAUUGCACCUUAAGUUAAGUCAGUGUGAUUGUGUGCAUAAAGAAACCUCGAGCAUGGAGCGGACGUGCACAGGAAUAACUGCAAAGGGUUUGUGCUGUGCAGUCCCAGAGUCUGGGCUGCUCUUCUUGGCUUGGCUUUGGGCUGAGUAUGUUGGGGCUCAGGGCCAAGGAGCUUUGUGUCACUGGGGUUCGGCUGUCAGAAGAUUUGCUGUCCCCUCUGAGUCCUCUCUGCUCCAUCCUUCUUCUCAUGCUGCAGAUGUCUGCUAUAAAAAAGAAAAAAAAAGCCUCCACAAACGGCGUGGUAACAUUUACUGGAGGGCUGUUUCUGCUGCACAUCUGAUGCAUAUGACAGGGUCAGAUUAACCCAGCCUCUGCUUUCCAACCACAGCUAUUUGAAAGCACCAAAAACAAUUGCAAAACAAACCAGAGGAACUCUGCCAUCCUGGUGAGGAGCUGGCAGGCUCUGGGGAUGUGUGAGCUGCAGGGAUACACCCACCUGGUGCUCAGCAGGGCCAGAUGAGCUCUUAGUUUGGCAAUGAAUUUGGUCUCCUCAAAGUCAGCCUUUUAAGGGACCGGUGGCUUUCCUUGGUACUUAAGGUUGGGACUUUCAAAGAGCUAAAGAAGGGCUGUGAUAUUAAGUGGAAUAAAGCAUCUAAUGCUGGGGGAUGCUCUCAAAACCCUCCUCUUCCUGGAGGAUGGCUCUUUUGUCACUGUGGAUGGGCUGUCUGAACCGAGGGCAAGAGUCUUUCUUUUUUAUGUGCCCUCUCCUUCUAGUGUCUCCGCAUCUUCCAUGAUUAUUUUGGCCUUGCUACGUCUCUUUCCACUCUUUUUUUUUUUAAUUAUAUAAGCACUGAUUUACCCAUGGUUCUGGCUCAGCUAGUAUUUUAAUUAGAUGUUUAGCCUUCUUUGGUUAUUGAUGCUAGAAAACAGGGCUGGAAGGGACCCCUGGAGGCAGAUGCACCCCUGUGAAAGAGCAAGUUAAGUCUGAACAGUGCUUUCUUAGAGGGCGGUAAGGCCCUGGCACUGCUGCCUGGAGAUGUAUGGGUGCCUCCACCAUGGAGGUGCCCAAGGCCAGGCUGGUUGGGGCCCUGAGCAACCUGAGACCCUCUUUGCAACAGCGGGGUGCUUGGAGUCCUCAUGGCUGGUGAUGCUGAAGGGCAUCAAGAGCAAAGGAAAGGAGCGUGGGGACCCAAAAGUCUCUGCUCCAUAAGAUCCCUCCCCCUAAAAAACCCUGCCCUGUCCUUCACUCGGGCUGGGGGCCCUGCCUGUGACCCCUCAGCCCCACUGCAUGGCAAGGUUGCGGAGCAGCCCUGUGAAUCCUUGCUUGAUGAGGGGAGGACUGGCCAGCAGUCUUCUAGGACAGGGGCUGGGAUGGGCACGAAACAGAAAGCUGAGGUGAGAAAAAGGGAGAGAGGGGAAGAAAAACCCCAAAAACACCUAUGGAGAGGGAAGCGGAGUCGUAGCAGAGCUGCUUGCUGAUGGAGUUGCUAUGGCGACGUGGCGUGAGGAAACAGCAUAACACAGCCCGGCGUGGGGCUGAGGCCUGCGGGGGCUUGGACUCGCUUCUCUCCUCCUCCUCUCACUGCUUUCCUUCCCUCAGAUGUAGUCUUCCUCAGCCCAGAACAGUCCCCCUCCAAGCAGAGGGAGCCGUCUCUUCUGAAGGGAACGUGUGAGGGCUGCUCUUCCCUGCAUCCCCUACGGAAGGCCUGAUUGAGCCCCAGGUUUUGUUCCCAGGCAGUGUGCGCGAUGGACUGGUUUCUCUGUUGUCUCCUGACAGGGGACACCCAGUUUUAAGAGGAAGAAGGCUUUGUUUCAUGUGCCAGCUCUCCUUCCUUUUCGGUGAUGUGAUGCUCUGUCACCAUGACGAGUCACUUCCCCUCCAUGAGUCAGAGGGGCUCCUGCAGGGUGCGCUGGGGCUGACCGUUGGUGCUGUGUUUGCUGUGCAGGAAGAGAAACCCGUGUCACUGUGCAGGGCUGGGGACCUGCCUGUGGACCUGCCACCCACCUCUGCCCUCGGUGUCAACAAUGGCAAACAUCUUACUUUAAAGGCUUCAAGGCUCCAGGUCGUGGAGCUUGGAGUUCUGGUCUGAGAUUUUAUUGACAAAAUUAAGGUAUUCUUGGCAACUCUGUGAUCAUAGCAGAAGGGAAAUGUAAUCUCAACCACUGGAAAGUGCACAGUAACCAACCUGAAACGAGUACUCUGUAGGCACUCAUACUUUUAGACCACCCUCUUAACUUUGCUUAGGGCUUGGCAGUGACACGUGAAGUUGGCAGUGCUGUAGAUGGGGAGCUCCUUCUGCUUUCUCUUCACCUCUCCCCUUUCUUGCCCCUGCUGCAGAUGCCCUCACCGUGUUGGUGUGCCUGGAGCUGUGAGCACACACUUGUGCUUCUGUAGCUCCACGUGCACAGAGGUGCCUGGCUUAGCUCAAGGUAUCUUCAAGCAUCUGCAUGGCAUGGGAGCGAGCAUUUUCCCUUUCUCCUUCCUCUCAGUGGAGUCUUCUCCAGCUGAACCUCCCUCCCCAGAACUCCCACCUUCCUGCACACAAUAGACUACCACAGUGCCUCCUGCUUCUCCCUGCCUUCAUGCCCAUACCACAUCGGGCUGUGGUCUCCAGUAUCUUGUGCUGACGGUCGAUAUCCAGAUGGUGCAGUUAACAGGGCUCAGUGCAGUCAAUCUUCUUUAUUCUUGCCAGUCUCACCGUUCCUCGCUGUGGCUCUGACCAUCACCUCACCACAGCUGAGUCAAUCAACUGCUCUGCGGGUUGCAAUCUCCUGUGUGACCCUGCUGGAGUUCACAAUAGGUGCCCAGUGGCUGGACAUGUUGGAUGAAGGCUGUCACCUCCUACCUCCCAGAGGGCUCGUUAAAUAAAGGCUUAAUUUUUUUGCUGCUUUCCAUUUGCACCCACCAGAGCCAUGGCAAGCUGCAGAAUCUGCCCUUUCUGCUAACUCAUCUAUGUGCUUCCUGAUCUCGGGUGUCUGGAGGUGGUGGGCUGUGGGAUCAAACUGUGGCUGUCUCCCUAUGCCUCAGUUUCCCAGCCUGCACAGCAGAGCUUGGGAAGCUACUUUCUCUUUUCCCCAUCCUGGACGGUCUCUGGAUGUAAGCAUUUCUUUGUGAAGUCUAAGUGUUAAGGGUAGCUUGAAUAAGAGUUCACUUAAACCAAGGAUGGGCAAAUAGCUGAAGGUCAUAAAUACGCAGCUGAGUAAUUAUUUAGAGUGGUCUAGGAGAUGUAACUAUGGAUAAUGGGAUAAAAGAAGGUGAGGAAAACAUGGCAUAGUUAACAGAAAAUUCUCUCUGAUACCAUGCUUAGAGCUGCAGAAGGAAAACUAUAGGACCUUGAUAAAUCUGAAGGAGUGGUUUAUGGAUUGAUACAAGAUAUAAUGGCUGAAUCCCCAAGGAGAUGCAAUGAAUGGCAUCUGUAUACAGUGAAUACAUCUAUAUUUAGUGAAAGGAAACCUCAAAAGGUUUCCCAGGGAAACCUCAAAAAAACUUCUCAUUGAUUUGAGGAAUGGACUGAGUUGCCUAUGUGGCCAUUUCUACCUGAGUGUUUGCCAUGUUGGAGUUGAUUGCAAGAUCACACACACUAGGAUGGGAUCUUGUGAUGUGAUCUUCAAAAAUGGCAAGAAAAAUGAGAACAUGGUGUAGUUUCAGGAAGCUGAGCAUCAUUGGUGGAGAAUCCUCUCUCCCUGCGUUUCCCACACCAAAUGUAAGAUGUGAGAUUUCUCUCCUUGGGCUUCUUCCAAACAUACAGCUGAAAGAUGGCUUGGAAGGACAUAGGGAGAUCUAGGGUUGUGAGUGUGAGGACUGAGGCCAAGGACUGACACACCUGAUGUCAUGUUCAGAUUAUCAAACUCAAGUACAUGUGAAUGAUGCAGGGAUGGAGCUGCUGACCACCCUGUCAUCCCAGCUUGCAUGACAGGACAGGCAGACCCUUGUCUGUGGGGAGUUGGACAUGGGGCAAGGUCACACUUCUGGCUUUCCUGUCCUGCCUGCAGAGACGGGCAUUGCCCCCAUGCUGUCACCCACUGCCUGCUGGCACUUUGCUGUUUCCUGCUUCCAGCAGUGUUUUACACAUUGCCCAGUAAUUCCUGGCUUCCUCAGUAGCAUGUGGGAUUUUAUCUAAGGCUUUCGGGCAAUCCUAACAAAUUAUAUCUACUGAUUUCUUUUUUCCCUUUAUCCAUUGUUUUGUUGAUUUCAUCAGAAAUCUCCCAGAGCAGGCAUGCACGCUUUGGCUUUCAGAAGCCCUCAGUUUGUUCCUUUUCUAUCGCAGCCACUUAAUGUUGCAAUUAAUUUUUCUGGGGUUGAAUUAUUGUUCUGAGCAGUCCUCAAAAGGGGCAAUCGGAGGAGCAAACUGGCCAGGAUCUGGGUGUAGCAAUCGUAGCGUGGGCUCUCGGGCACCAGGCGGGGAUGCUUUAGGUAGGAUGUUUGCAGAAGUGAUGCGUGUGCAGAGAGAGCAUCCCUGCUUAGAGGAGCGGGGAAUAUCCUAGCAGUGAGAUGUCUAAAGCGAUCCCCAAAAGCCCGGAUUGUUGCCAUGAAACACGGAUGCAGGAGCAUGCUCAUCCCUGCGAUAGUUUAGCUGGCUGAGCACAGAGUUGCUGCGUCUUUGUCCUUGAAACCCAACGAUUGGGAGUUUGUGGCCAGGCUGGCUGCUGCGGUAUGGAGCAACAAAACCAACCUGCAAAGGGUUAAUCAUUUCCAUUGCAAUUGUGUCAUCUCUUUGGGGACCUCUCGCUCAUUUUGCAAGCAGCCGCUGAAAGCCGAGGCGCGGGGGCUUUUUCUUAUUCAGCUGCACGCAGCUUCAGAAGCACUGGACAGCCGCACAGCUGUGCUCAGCCGCCUUGGCCUUGCAGAUGGAUGGAGAAAAGGAUUUGUGUGCAUGCGUGUGCUUGCGUGUGUGUGUGUGUAUGUGUGUCUGAAACCUAAUUGUCUGCUGUCUAAUCCGUCAGCCGGGGGGACAGCUUGCACAAGCCCCUUCCAGGCAGCCUGAUAAAUGCAGCGCUGCCAGGGCCCUUUGCGAUGUAGUUGGGUUUAAUUGGGAUUGCUACGUGCAUGGACUCUGUGUGCCUGCCUAUGUGAGGGAUGCUGCUUGCAGGGAUGCAUGCAGCUGCUGUCCAGAGGACUGGGGCUGUGCACCCAGCCUGGCUCCUGCUGGGGGCCUGGGAGCAGCACAGUGACAGCACUGAGCGGUCCCACUGCUUAUGGACUUUGCAACUUGCAUGGGUUUGGCAUCUCCUGAGGUAGGGCUUGGAGAGACAGCGGGCUGCUAAGAUUGUGGGGUCUGGCUUGGGGAUGUCACCUGCUAUCUCCAGUGUAGUGCAAGGAAUGGUAGAGGGUGUCCCCACCGCAGAUUUGGGCAGGGGUGUGCCUCUUGAGCACGCUCCCAGCCCCAAGCACGUGGCAGUUCAGGGACUUCCCCAACCAGAGUGGCAUUUUGUCCUUAAUACCCCUCCGUGGAUUUCCCAUGAAUUUGUCUGGUUGAUUUUUUUUUUGUAAACGCAGAAGCUUUAAUCAUCCCCUGAGAGCUGUGGUGAGGACUUCCACUGUUUAACCACAUACCAUGUGAAGAGCCAUUUUCUCUUGUUCCUUUUGAAUCUGCUGCCUCUUAAUGUCAUUGGAUAUCUCCUAAUUCUUUUAUUGGGAGACACAGUGAGCAAUCAAACUUGGUUCACCUUUUUGAGGCCACAGAUGUGCCUCUCUAGCUGCUUGGUUUCCAAGCUGAGUUCUUUCUCCUGUGGACUCACUGUUUGAUCAUCCUGCUCUGGACCUUUCUCCAGCUCUGCUGGUGACGUCAGGACUCUGCAGGUGGUGACAUCCUCAUUCAUUAUAUAAUUAGGGGUGAUGUCAUGAUUACAGCAGAUGGAAUUUGUAUCAGCAUUGGUUGCUUACUGCACGUUGAUGUCAGGAGACUGUUGUGUCCUGCCCAGUCACAAGAACUUCUUUUGAAGCUGUUGAUCUUCAUUGUAGGGAGUCUAAAAUAAUAAUUUUUUGCCUAUGAGUUCCCUGGAUGAAAAGGACAAUGCCAAGUUGUUGUUUUUCAGGAACCACUGUGCUUUGCAAGAUAUCCCUGACUCAAAUGAGCAAUGUGGCUCUGUCAUUUCAUCCCCCAGGUGCAGACACCUCAGCUGGUACCCACCAAGUCUUCCAUAAUAAAUGCACAUCAGGUUUCAGGGCAGGUGAUUCAAGGGAAUCACAUUUCCAGGCAAGGGAUUAUAGGACAACAGACGGGCUAUUUGUGUGGUAAUGCAAAUGGGUGCCCAAAUCUCCCCCAGGGCUGUAAUAGAACACCGUGGUGCUUCUGUACCCCAAAGCUUCAGGAAGGACGUGGCCUGGUGCUGUGGAUCUGGGAGCAAAGAAGUGGGAGUAUGACAGCGUGGUCACCCUGUGCAUCCCUUCCCAUGGCUCCCCCAUGCCCCCUCCCUGCCCUCCUGCUUCCUCAUCCCUCCUCCU